rnacentral:rRNA from 1 species
AGUGAACGCUGGCGGUAGGCCUAAUACAUGCAAGUCGAACGGCAGCACAGUAAGAGCUUGCUCUUACGGGUGGCGAGUGGCGGACGGGUGAGGAAUACAUCGGAAUCUACUUUUUCGUGGGGGAUAACGUAGGGAAACUUACGCUCAUACCGCAUACGACCUACGGGUGAAAGCAGGGGAUCUUCGGACCUUGCGCGAUAGCAUGAGCCGAUGUCGGAUUUGCUAGUUGGCGGGGGAAAGGCCCACCAAGGCGACGUUCCUUAGCUGGUCUGAGAGGAUGAUCAGCCACACGGGAACUGAGCCACGCUCCAGACUCCUACGGGAGGCAGCAGUGGGGAAUUUUGGACAAUGGCCGAAAGCCUGCUCCAGCCAUACCGCGUGGGUGAGGAAGGCCUUCGGGUGGUAAACCCCUUUUGUUGGGAAAGAAGAGCAGCAGGUUAAUACCCCGCUGUUCCGACGGUACCCAAAGAAUAAGCACCGGCUAACUUCGUG